rnacentral:lncRNA from 1 species
GAAAAUAUGUUAGAAAAAAGAAUGGUAAUUAUAUUGAUCAUGAAUAAUCAUCAUCUAUAUUUUGUUUGUAGUUACAUUUAUAUUUUUAAGAUAUUUUGGAUGGCUCUAUCAUAUUUUUUCUAAUUUCUUUUUUGUUAUAGGAAAAAAAUGGUAUUUAUGGUCAGAACCCCGAUAGCUAUAAGAAGAAGAGAACAAUGGGAAUAGGUUAGGGAGAUGGUGGGGUAGUUAGAUGAAUAUAGAAUGGAGCCAAAAGUUAAUAUGAUUGAGCAUAUCGAAAUAGUCAAUCAAAAAAUACAGGAUAUUAUAUUUGCAGGAUAUAUCAUGAAUGAAGAUAAAAAACUUUCAGCAUUAAGAAUGACUCUACCUAAAGUAAAGCAAUGUUUGUUAGAUCGAUUUUGGAGA